rnacentral:tmRNA from 1 species
CUGUCAGAAUGACAGGGUCCGGCUUCGUCGGACUAGGUGAUCCACACCAGUGUUUCGGACAGCGGUUCGAUUCCGCUCAGCUCCAUUCCCCCUCACGGGGCUGCAAUGGUUUCGACGGGGCAUGAGGAGGGUGACUGAAGCCUGCUCGGUGAGAGCAAACCCGUAACUGCGAACAACAUCGUUCGUUUCUCCCGUCAAGCAGCCCCUGUUGCUGCCUGACCC